rnacentral:rRNA from 1 species
CAAUAGCGUAUAUUAAAGUUGUUGCAGUUAAAAAGCUCGUAGUUGGAUUUCUGGUAGUGGGUUAGAGCGCACAUGCGUGAUGCUCGCGUCCAUUGCCAUCCUUCUGUUAACCUUUCAGGGCAUUCAUUUGCCAGUUAGGGGCUCAGAUAUUUUACCUUUGAGAAAAUUAGAGUGUUUCAGGCAGGCUUGUGCCCGGAUACAUUAGCAUGGAAUAAUAAGAUAGGACCUUGGUACUAUUUUGUUGGUUUUGCGCACCAAGGUAAUGAUUAAUAGGGCCAGUUGGGGGUAGUUCGUAUUCCAUUGUCAGAGGUGAAAUUCUUGGAUUUUUGGAAGACGAACUACUGCGAAAGCAUUUACCAAGGAUGUUUUCAUUAAUUCAAGAACGAAAGUUAGGGGAUCGAAGAUGAUCAGAUACCGU